UCAGUGGGCCAUAAAUCUGGCUUUUGUUUCCCAGUCUGCCCCAGACAUCAAAAGAAAGUUGCAAAAUUAGAGGGGUUUCAGGGAAUAAAUUUAGCUCAGUUGUUAGAAAUUGCCCAAAAAGUUUUUAACAAUAGGAACGCCUUAGAGGCCAAGCAAGAUAAGGGAGUUACUAAAGUAGUGAUAACAGCACUCCAGGAAACCUGAGUUAACUUCCGGGAACCAGAAAUCCAGCAGAGAAGCUGCUGCAAAGUUCUAAGAAUUCUCCCACUUUGUUUGAUGAGACGCUGAGCCAAGACCUUGCUGAUUUCCGAGCUGAGUUAUAACUUACUCUUAGCCACAAAAACCCAGGAGGACUGUAAAGAGUCCACCCAGUCAUUACUAAGGACCCUACAGACUUUAGAGUACCGGGUCUCAGCUAAAAAGGCCCAACUCUGCCAGCCGAGAGUUACUUACUGGGACUCUAUUACAGAGAAAGGCAACCGGGCACUGGCACCCAGCCGAAUCCAAGCAGUGCUGCAAAUACCCACCCCCACCAUGAAACGCCAAGUUAAAGAAUUCCUUGGGGCACUAGGGUACUGCAGGCUAUGAAUAUUGGGAUUUUCUGAGAUAGCCAAGCCCUGUAUGCCUGCACUAGAAGAAAUCAGCCCUUAACAUGGACAGAGGUAGAGCAACAGGCUUUUGACAAGCUCAAGACUGCCCUGACUGCGGCCCCAGCCUUAGCCCUGCCAGACAGCUCUAGACCUUUCCAGUUGUUUGUGCAUGAAAAACAUAGAAUUGCUAAGGCGGUGCCCACCCAAACUCUGGGACCCUAAUCCCAGCCAGUCACCUAUCUUUCAAAAGGACUUGAUCCCGUAGCCUCUGGGUGGCCAGCUUGUCUGAGAGUGGUGACGACCACAGCCCUAUUAAUCAAAGAGGCAGACAAGCUGACUUUGAGGCAGGAGUUAAACUUAGUGGCUCCCCACGUGGUAGAGUCGCUACUCCGUGGAGCCCCAGAAAAUGGAUGUCAAACGCCGCCACAUUGCUACCUGACAGCGGGCCAGAGAAGCCAAUUCAUGACUGCCAAUGGACAAUAGAUGUCCUCUACGCUGCGCGACCGGAUCUCACUGACGUCCCCCUGCAGAACCCGGAAGAGGUAUUGUAUACGGAUGGAAGCAGCUUCAUGGUCAACGGAGUCAGGGACAUGGAUGAAUCUGGAGAACAUCAUUCUCAGCAAACUGACACAAGAACAGAAAAUGAAACACCGCAUUUUCUCACUCAUAGGCAGAAUGGCUUAAAAUGCUGAAUAUUUCAUAUAAAACAAAUCUAAAAUGAUUCUGAAAGGUGGAGAGAAAAGAGCAGACCAGCUAAAAACCUCAGAACUUAAGUAUUGAUUCACCUGAGACUUUUGCAUUGCUGAUGACCAGAUGACUUCACUCAGAUCUGCAACACAUGACUGAACUGGUCCUGUGGCCCCCACCCAGAAGCAGACUCAGUGACAAAGGACCAUUUUCCGCACUCCUAUAAUUGCAUCCCCAACUAAUCAGUAGUACCCCAUUGCCUAGCCCCUUGCCUGCCAAAUUAUUUUUUCAAAUUCCUAGCCUCUAAAUUUUGGGAGAGGCUGAUUUGAGUAGUAAUAAAACUCUGGUCUCCCAUUUA